AUAGGGUAUAAUAUAUAGCAAGUAGUAAAUUCAUAUAUGAUGUAAUAAUUGAAUAGUUUUUUGGAAUGGAAAACAUAGUAAAUUCUGAGUAUUUUAUUUCAAACGUUACCUCCAGUAAACCCUAUCAGAAAUGAACUACAAAAUUUAUAUAAAAAUUUGUAGUGCAUCUUAAAUUUUCUUCUUCCAAUCCUUAAAUAUAUUUAUAAGUUUACAAGUUCCUUUUUAAGGAAUAUGAUUCUGUCAGCUAAAGUAGCUGAGUGUUUUUUCUCUUUGUACGUUAACCAAAAAUUAUCUAUUUUAUAGACGGUUCACGCAGAUGAGUAAGGAAACUCAAAUAUGCAAAGCGCUUAUUUUGAAAAUCUUUGUGUAUAUCAUUCAUGAAUAGACAAUUGUAUUUAUUUUGAGCUUUUAGAGUGAUAACAUCGAGUUUUGAUUUGUAGUAUUGAAGUAUUUUAUCAAUUUUUAUUAGUAAAAUGGCUAAAGUGAGUUCUGUGUUAGUAGGCAUUAAGAAAUAUAAAGAACUGCGUUUGGAUAUGGGAAAAGGGUACUGUUCGGUGUGAAUUACAAUUGCAAACAUAAUGUUACUUCUACUGAUGAGUUUAUUAAUAAUAAGGAGUUUUGGGCCUGAAUAAAUUGUCAGACUAAUAGACUAUUAUCUACCUCUCUAGCCUCCAGGUAACUGGUCCAACUGUACGCCAUGUCUGUUAACAAUUGUUAAUCAAAAACAAAACUUUUACUUUGAAAUUAUAAUGAACCUGAAAUAUGAAAAGUUUAAUUCGGUUUUCUACAGUUUUUCUGUAACCUCGUGAACUGGUUCACAAGCCAAAUGGCCGACGAUAGGGAAUAAUACAGUUGUACUCGCAUUCUAUGAAGAAAUGUUUGUUUCUUUUUCACUUCAAUCAAAGCUUUAGGAUGUAGAAAGUGGAAAUAAAUAAGUAAAUAUGGUAAGCAGA